AACCAAAAUCCAACAAAAAAAAAAACCAAAA
rnacentral:sRNA from 1 species